UCCUCAUCCACAGCCAGCCACGCUGCAGAGCCACCCAGCCAGAGACGCCUACUCUGGUCUCCAGCUAGGAUGUUGAGGACCUGUUUCGAAUGUCUUGGAAGAAGUCCUGGAAUCCUCCCAGCCCCCAGGUUCCGGGAUACAUGUGCAGAAUGUGCAGAGUUUCACUCUGGCUCCUAGGCUGGAAAGCAGUGGCACCAUCUCAGCUCUCUGCAACCGCCACUUCCCAGGUUCAAGCGAUU